rnacentral:rRNA from 1 species
UACAGAGGGUGCGAGCGUUAAUCGGAAUUACUGGGCGUAAAGCGCGCGCAGGCGGUUCGUUAAGUCCGGUGUGAAAGCCCCCGGCUCACCUGGGGGAGGGCAUUGGAGACUGGCGGACUGGAGGCAGGCAGAGGCCGGUGGAAUUCCCGGUGUAGUGGUGAAAUGCGUAGAGAUCGGGAGGAACACCCGUGGCGAAGGCGGCCGGCUGGGCCUGUCCUGACGCUGAGGCGCGAAAGCGUGGGGAGCGAACAGG